UUCCUGUUCAAUGAAAAUGUCUCAGAUUGGUAUUUACCAAAAAACAAGCAGCCAGCUCAAAUAUCCUUUACUUGUUGAUCCUGGCAACACACCAAGAGGUUCAACUCAGUGCAGCCAAUCUGCUACAACAGGUGCAGCUCAGACCAACAGCGUCCUCUUCUCUAUUUGGAAUAACAAAACCAAAUAAUAGGUUGUGACCAGAAGACAAACACAACACCACAAAACGUAUUGCUUUACCCCACCCAAACUGCCUGAGGAUAGGACUCCCAGUGCAAGCUUAAACCAAACGAGCAGCCUCGCCUUUUCGCUAGGCAGCUGGAGUGGAGCUGGUGAGAGAGAGAACCAGAUUUGGACUGCAGGGCUGGAGCAAGGGGGACAACAGCCAGCGGGGGCAAACAGGGCUGGAAGGGGAAAAACGGAUGAAGCUGUCAAGGAGAGACAGGAGGCGUCUCUUCCAAAGCAUCUCACGCCAAGGCAGAAGUUUUGUAAUGGGUCUGAGCAGAGCUUAAAGCUCGCUAUUUCAUUUUUCUCCAGCGCUCCCUCCUUCAGUUUGUCACUGCUGGAGAAAGCAGCAGCGCCUCGGCCUUCCCUUCACUUCUCUCCCAGACUCUCCCUCCUGGCUCCUUUAAACUGCUGCACAAUCCGAUUGGCGGGGGGGCGCAACCCCAGGGAGGAUCAGCACUUUCACAGCUCUCCCCUUGUGACCGUGAAACGCAAGUAGAAACCUGCCUCUUUACAUGAGACAGGGACCGGAAAAGAGCGGGUGUGGUUUGUCCCCAGGCUUCUGGGGGGCUCGUGUCCACGCAGGUUCCCCACUCAGGUCAGACAAGGUCUUUGAUUAUGGGGGAAGCUGCUGCAUCUCCUGAGGGGUCCAGUACAGAUGGCACAGCCCAAGGGAAGAAAGACAAAGAUGGCCUUUUCAUCAUACAGAUUCUGGGUUGCUACAGGAGUUGAGAUGGCCCUCAACAUAAGUGGAUGUGUGUUCAAGAUUUCGAAAUGCAGCUCAUUCAGUUAAAAAGCUCAGAACUGUGGGCAUCAAAGUUUGGAGAUCUGCGCAGUGCACUUGAAGCUACCAAGAAAGAUCAUGCGACCUGUAUUCUGACCUGCUGGACGUCCCUGCCAGUGAAAUUUAACUGUUUGAAGAAAAUUGCGUUUGCAAUGCUUUCAACAUUUGGAUCCACAUACCUGUGUGAACAGGUAUUUUCACACAUGAAAUCUGUCCCCUGUCCCUCUCAGAGCCGGUUAACAAUUGAUCGCUCAGAAGCCCGUGUGCAGCUUAAAAUAUCCAAAUACAUGCCAGACAUGGAAAACUCAGCAAGGAAAAGCAAGGGCAAGGAUCACACUAAACUGAUAGGAUCUGCAUUUUAAUGUAAUUUUAAAUGAAGCUUCUUAAACAUUUUAAAAACCUUAUUUACUUUUCAUACAACAAUAGUUAUAUAUUAUAGACAUAUAGAAAAAGGCCUUCUAAAAAUGUUAAAAUGUAUUACAGGCCCGUGAAACCUUAAAUUAGAGUGAGUAAAUGAAGACUCGGCACACCACUUCUUAAAGGUUGCAGACCCCUGGGCUAUACUGUAGUUCAGUGCCCAGCCAAUGAGAUAGGGAACAGAAUUUCGCUCCAUUCCAGCACCAUUUAAUCAAUUUAAGGGCCAUAGCCUUUGGCCCUUACUCAUGUGAGUAACUUCACUUGAAUUACAUAUGAGAGUUGCAGGCUCCAAAUUCGGACACUAAAAAGCAGAGAGUAUUAACUUUGAAACUUGUAUUGCAGUUCCUGCUGCUGUUGUACUGGCUCCAUGUCUCAAACUGUUUCAAGUAACACACAAACCACUGAAUGCCGUAGUCACUCAGCCAACCAAUGAUCCCACAAAUGGAGAAGUCAUCAUCUAAAAUACCCCUGGAAUGAAAUGUGAAAGUAGACUCUUCCUCUUCUUCUGUUUCCUCAUCAUCAUAUUUUUUUUUAAUGUUUUCUUGCCUGCAAUCUUUGUCCUUCUAAUUCUAAAAGAAUGUAAAAACCUGAUAUAACUUGCUACCCGAUAAACUGAAUCUCUUUGCUGAAGCUAAACCAGGUCACGAUUCCCUGAAGUGUGGUGUUAUUUUCCUGUCCAGCUGUGAGGUUUUACUUUCCACCACUUGCUACUAUUGAAUUUCUGUUAUUUCAAAUGGAGAAUAAUAGCUCAGGAUCCAAUUGCUUCACAAUUAUACGUUAAAUAAAAGGAUACAAGGUAAAGGAAAGAAUGGGAUUUUCUAAGAUGGUAUGAGUAAAUUCAGCAAACAAAGAUCUGAUGGGAACAGAGUUCUUUGUCCUCGAGAAUAAGGAACAGGAUCAUAAAGAGCAGGGUAGAAGGGAUAAAGAUCAAGGACAGUCUUUGAUAACAGACUAUUAUAGGCAUAAAAGAUCACUGUUAACAGCAUGAAAUAAAAAAUGAUAUGUGUAGGCUUCAUAUACUUUACAUAAGGGCCUCAGUGAGUUAUAGUGCAAAAUAUCAAAUAUCACAACUGUGUCUCAGAAAAAACAUUGAAAAAUCACAGAGCAGUGCACUUCCUUUCAGUUACUGAAACUAUUUGCAACCUCCCCCAAAAAGCACUUGAUCCUAUCAUCAGCUGAUCCUCCUGUGACCUGCAAAAAUUAUAGACUCAAACCUUUUAGCUGACAAAUCCACCCACCCUUUACAGCUUCCCUACUAAACUCUCUGGAGAACCACCCAGACCCAGAUAGAUAUGUUGCAAAAAGGGAGGAAAGUCAGGGAAUGAGAAGAAACUAAUUAAUAAUUAAUGGUCCAUCACAGUGUGAGAUAGCAAUGGAGAUAAAUUAGAUUAGGCUAGAAACACAGACUCAGUCUGACUCUUCUGAGUCAGUACUUAAACACAGAGUUGGGGGGCAUCAUAUGGCUGGAGCUGCUUCUUUUGUUCAUUUAUUAAAUACGUCUUAAUUUCUAACAAUUUUAGAAUAAUAAAAGCAAGGAACUCCAAAGAAAAGAACCAAAGAUAUAGCCAAUGACAUCAACUAGUAAUUACCAAUGUGUUGCUCUGUAGUAAGAAUGAAGAUGGCUACAAAAGAGAAAGUUCUAGAGGACAGGAAGUGUGGCAAGCAGAGAAGGGUGCCUAUACUGAGAAUUCACAGGGGUGGAGUAUGUGGAGAGGGCUAAGGGCUGGGGCAGGAGGCUGGGGUGCAGAAGAGAGUUUGGGUGCAGGCUCUGGGAGCUGCCCCCGCCUGCAGGCGCUGCCCCUGCAGCUCCCAUUGGCCACAGUUGCUGGCCAAUGGGAGCUGUGGAGCAGGCACUUGGGCAGGAGCAGUGCAUGGAGCUCCCAUGGCCAGCUGCUCCUAUGCCUAGGAGCCGGAAGGUCAUGCCGGCUGCUUCCCAGGAGCCACGCAGAGCCAGGUAGGGAGUCUGCCAGCCCCACACCAACCAGACUUUUAAGAGCCCGGUCAGCACUGGUCCCUUUUUGACCAGUUGAAAACCGGACACCUGGCAAACCUAGUGGACACAGGAGGAAAUUGGGUAAACAGAAUUAAUUACCUGAACUAGAAUUUGGCCAGGUAACAACCUUAGAUUUUAAAAAAUAUCAUUUUGGAACAUUAGCUCAGUACAUUUUUGUAAUGCAACAAAAACACAUGUAAUACGAUGCAGCUGCCCAAAACCUGUCUGUGAUUUGUGGUAUGACAUGCCUAGAGCCAAACAAUUUCAAGCCAAGGCCUUUUUGAGUCAGUGAAUGACUGUGUGACCAGUCUACUUUAACUAUUAUAUGUUUUUCUUUGUUGAAAGAAAGAAAAUAAAUGACCUUUCCAAUAAAGGAUAAAAAUAUGGUCAUUAUUUCUAUCUAUCCCCAGUUUUUCCAUGACCUUGCACAUGAACCAAAAUCAAGGAUGAAUGAAGAUUUAAGGAUCUUCAUCAUAUCAAUCCCAUUCAGCUUCUGCCACAUGUCAGAUGUCUGUGAACUCAACAGGAGGUGUAGGCAA